rnacentral:rRNA from 1 species
UGGGGAAUAUUGCACAAUGGGCGCAAGCCUGAUGCAGCCAUGCCGCGUGUAUGAAGAAGGCAUUCGGGUUGUAAAGUACUUUCAGCGGGGAGGAAGGGAGUAAAGUUAAUACCUUUGCUCAUUGACGUUACCCGCAGAAGAAGCACCGGCUAACUCCGUGCCAGCAGCCGCGGUAAUACGGAGGGUGCAAGCGUUAAUCGGAAUUACUGGGCGUAAAGCGCACGCAGGCGGUUUGUUAAGUCAGAUGUGAAAUCCUCGGGCUCAACCUGGGAACUGCAUCUGAUACUGGCAAGCUGGAGUCUCGUAGAGGGGGGUAGAAUUCCAGGUGUAGCGGUGAAAUGCGUAGAGAUCUGGAGGAAUACCGGUGGCGAAGGCGGCCCCCUGGACGAAGACUGACGCUCAGGUGCGAAAGCGUGGGGAGCAAACAGG